ensembl:lncRNA
GUGAGAGACAGAAUCUAAAACAAACAUCCACAUGGUUAAGACCAAACCAGACAUUGUCAAAUCUUAGUGGAAGACUGGACACUCCAAUUUACAGUCCUGUACACAGGAAUGGUUAUCAACGCCACUGCCCUUGGACUAAAACAAAGCAACAACAUACUGCCUCCAUGUUGGAUUGAAGUUCACAGGGAGGUCUGAAGGUGAUAUGGACAGAUGUGUUCCAGAUGCUCAUCAGGUGUUAAUUUCGGACCCUGCUUCCAUACCUGUUGAUGGAUAUUCUGGCUGCUUAUCCCGGAAUUCCUGGGAUGUUUGCAGGGUUGGGUUAUGACCAGUGCCUUUGGAAAGGGUUUCUAAACCAUUGCUUUCUACUUCAAUGAUUGGGUUCCAUCUCUACAUUACAUGCCAAAGAAAUCGAGACUCAUCAGACCAGGCAACAUUCUUCCAGCCUUCAAAUGUCCAAUUUUGUUUGUGACUUCCAGUCUAGCCCGAAGGUUGUAGCCAGACACCUCCUGCUCAUCUGUGCCAUCCUCUGGAUUGUCACCCUCUUCCUCAUGCUGAGGAUGGUCCUCCACCUCCAAGAUGUCAUCCUUAGAGAGACAAAGGUUGUGGAGAAUGUAGCAAGCCGCCACCACCUUGGGCACAUACCAAGGACACACUUCCAGAGCCCUCAGUAAGAUGGAUCUCCAGUGGGUUUUCAGCAUGCCAAACGUGUGCUCGAUUACGCACCUUGCCUUGGUGUGGUGGCCGUUGAACUGGGCCUCAUGGUGUAGAAAUCAUAUACAGUUACAUUAUUUGGUAGUGUUAUUUAAGACCACUACCAAGAUCUGUUUUCAUCAUAUAUAAGUCUGUCUUUAUUCAGUGUUGAAAACAAAGAGUACUUGGUAGUGAACUCAGACUUCUGGAGCCCACUGUGUGUUUGUGUGUGUUGGCAACCUUGGAUUUCAGUCCAGUAAAUAUCCGAACCAGCUACAGGGUGUUGAAACGGGGUGAUGACAGCCACAGGAUGCUGCAGGCAUGGAUAUCCACCAACUUCAGAAAAUAAUUCUGUUUGAUUUUGUUCAAUAAAGUGUUUUAGACCAUUAUUCCACAUGGUGUUGUUUAUAAAUGUUCAUAACUGAAUUGUAAACACCAUAACUCGUUGUGAAGUGGUUGAUUGCCAUUGCUAUACUGUGUAAUUUGUGGUCCAAGAUGAUUUCGACCUUUUAAAACUGUUUUGAUUCAGCCUAUGGAAUUGGAAACAAGCAGUUGCCAAUAGGAAACUCCAUUAAACCAUACUUCAGAUGGUUGGGCUUUCCAUUAAAGUUUUCAACUUAAGUAAAAUGGUUUGGUUACUGUUCCAUCACAUUGAGAAAGACUAGUGCCAACAUGAUGUAGCCUUGCCAUCCUCUGUCUCAUUCUGGCCCUCUGGAUCGGGUGCCUUUGCUCAGCGUCCUCCUAUAUAUAUAUACAUAUAUCUCUAACGGUUGUCUUGACAAUCUUUUACCAGCUGCUUUUUAACGCUGGUAGCUCGUUAGUGUGCUUGUGAAAUUCACGAGGUACCAGCGGGAAAAGGCUGAGGUAAAAUAUAGGCUAAAUAGGGAUUAGGUAGACAAAUAUAUCUAUAUAUAGAGGUACAGACACAGGAGCAUCAUAACACUUUUUACGUUAAAUAGCAUUUUAGUUAGGGUGACCACAUUUUCAAACUCCCAAACCGGGACCCUAGUGUAACCGCACGUUAACGCGCACAUGUAUGCGCUUACGCACGCAUGGUCAUCAUGCGUGAUUUUGGUUGGUGGAGCAGGGGACGCUUUGAUGAGAAUUGUUGCAUUGCUACGCAGUACUACCCAGUUGUUUGCUUGGCUUCGACUCCUAUGUGGAAACAUUACAAAAUUGUGGGGAACUUAUUGUGGUAGUGAAUAUUGGAAACCGGGGCAUUUUAGUGUUUUACAGAUAUUUGUCAUGAACAGGUGUUACGAAGAAUUCAGUGACCGUGCGAAUUCUGUGUGCCUGUCGAAAGUGCGCAUAUCGAAUAUUUAUUUCUGUCAGGGGGAGCGUGUGAUAUCUCGUGCACUUGUUGCUCCUCCUCGCACCCUACAUUGUCUUCCUUCUAAAAGGCGUCUGUUAACCUAAGCUUGUUUGCGCUGCAAUAUUAACCUUGUGAUCUUUGCGAUUCUGCAUCCAUAGAUACGUUUUUUUUAAAACAGCAGCAGAAAGCAAGUAUAUUGUGUUGUUUAACAUAUGGGUGUAGUACUGUAUUGUUGCAAUGACAAAUGCCAUGUUUGCGUUAGCUAGCACAGCCAGUCAAAGUAACUGUGAUAUAGUUUGCCAAUUCAAUGUGUUGGACUUCUCUCAAUAUUAACAAGCUACCCAUACGGAAAAUGUAUGUAUUUAAAAUAUAUUAUUUUUAUACAUUUAAUAAAUGUAUGUCAAGGUGUUCCAAUUGGAUUCCUUAAAUAUAUUUAGAAAACAUUUAUUACUAUACGAACCCGCAAAUUACCGCUAUCCUGUCGGGCGCCCUAAAUACUGCUCCAAACAAGUUAGUAGUGGUUUUACCAAGGUCGCUGCAGUACAUAAGAAUAUCUUGCUGACUGUAAGAUGAAACGCAUUUUGUAAAUGAAUUGCUAAGAUGUAUUUAAACAGCUAAAAGUGAUGUUAUCAAUAUGUCAGUAAUUAACAUUUUGAAAGUGUGGUUGUAUAUUCAGGCCUGCUGUGAAGUGAUAUCAAAUAUAACAAGCCUUACAUCAAUGUCAUUUUGGACUGUGAACAUUGUUUUAUGGAGUAUACUAAGCAUGUACACCUCAAGGUGAAAUACAAGUUUUUAUAGUUCUGUACAUUAUUAUCAUUAAAUAUCAUUAAAUAGCAAGAAUAAGCCUUAAUUGUAGCAUUUUGGGCUGUAAUCAAAUGAUCCACCAUUCUAACCCACCGUUAUAUGUAAAAAAUUUAUCCCGUUAGAGAAUGUCAGGGAAAUGUCUUAAACUGAUGUAUUCUUACUGAUUAAAGGACUGGGUCACCAUGUUUAGAUAAGAAAAGGAAUGUGGGAGAGGGGGAUCUGGUAUUUGUCUAAAGGGGCAUCCUUGACUGGUAUCAGCAGAUUAUAGGGUUACUCGUAAAUCUGUAUAACCCAUCAGUGUCUAUCUGUUGUUUGUCCAGAUGCUUUAAGUCCUCCUCAAGGGUUGAGAAGGUUACCCAGGUGGGGUAGGACAACACGUCCCUUGUGUGAAUCCUAGGAUAUGCGAUAGAACAAAGGGAAUGUGUUUUAUUGACAUAAGACAGAUGGGCAGUAUUUUACCACACCCCUUUUUCCCCUUUAAGUACUGACGAUUGUCCUGUAUUAAUUUAGCGAUUAUUCACUGUUACUCUGUAACCUGUGUACUCUCUCCUUGCAAGAAUAAAACUGUUUAUUGUGCAACUGAGUUUUCCUCUGUCUUACCUACCAUUUUCGUGAAUUGUUUGGACUUGAGAAAUUGCCAUCACAAGAACUUGAUGGGAAAUUAUUGCUUACAUUAUUAGA